AAAGCUUUAGGCGUGACUACAUAGAAACUCUUUUACAAAGUACAUUUGACCAUGAAAGUGGGUUCUAGAGCUAAAGGGCUAGAAUCUUGUGUGGUCACCAACCAAUAGCAUAAAGGUAACCAGGCAACAAAGCACAUACAACAUCUCUUCUAAAAAUGGGUAGUGGUCUAGGGAGGGAAGAGUCUGGGAUAAUCUUUUUUGGGGAAUUUGGAUGGGGUCUGCCUCUAUAGCAAAAGCUCUGCAACCUGGAAGAGACAGAGAGCAGCUGAGUUGUGUGAAAGACGCUCAGACAAACCAAGCUGCCUGGAGGAGACACAAGAGCCCCUUCAGUCUGUCAAGCUGCCUGCAAGUCACCCAGAAUGACCUGCACUGAGUAGGGUACAGAAGUCACCCUCUGUUAUUGCAUGGAGAUUAAUCUGUGUCUCUACAACCAGCAGUAUCUGUAUUACGAUAUUUGGUAGGCUUAUGCUGAGAGUAUGUAAAUUUUAAACUGUAAUGGCAUUUUGAUAAAUUGUUGACUCCAUCAGUAUGAAGUGGCUUUAUAUUUACUGAUUAAUUUGGUCUUGAAACAUCCUUUAUCAGAUAUUAGACUAA
rnacentral:sRNA from 1 species